UUUUUUUUUUUUUGACUCCUGCAUUUUUUGUUUGUAAUACACUGGAGCCAGUUUUCCCAUUGGACUUAGGGUUUGUGAAUGCCUCUGGCCACAUUAUAGAGGAAACAGACUCUAAUAGGGUCUUCCUGCUUUCUCCUCUCAUCUGCCAUAUUCAGUCCUUAAGGAGUUUCCUAGAGGUUUUCUCUGCAGUCCAUCCUCUUAUGUUACAUCACUUGUGACAGUGAUUUGUAACAACAUUGGUUGCUUUAUGUUCUCCAGUAUCCAUUCAUCUAUUUACCCAGGUUAUAGUUCCCAGGCUUCCUUUGGAGAAACCACCCCUCCUUUACUUUCAGCCCACCUUCGGAGGGGGUGGGGAGACAGCAUGGGAUGUAAUCCUUAACCAAUCAGUCCAUUCAUUCCCCAGGCCACGAUGAUUGAUUAGCAAUGUCAUAUGACCCAGUCAGAGCCAAUGAGACACAAUGAGGCUUUUGCUGGGACUGGAGAGAAAGAGCAAAAGAGAACUUUUUCCUGCUGGACUUAACCUCAAGGGAUGUUAGGUUAGAGGUUCUAGCAGCCACCUUGUCAUCAUGGGGAGAAAGACCAUCUGAGAAGGAAGCCAAUCCCACAGAAGCGGAUCCAAGAUACCGGAAGAGUGAAACGGUCUUCUAAAGCUGUACCUGAAGUCACCUUACUCCUGCCAUUUUUUAGUGGAGAAAAUGAAGCAGAGAAGCUUGUGUGACUCACUUAAGGUCAUCUAUGUCGGCGCCACUUCUCAGACUCCAGCUGUCCUCAUAUCCCCAGAAAUGCUUUUUCAGGUCAACAGUGCCUUUAAGUCCUUGGAUUCCAGCUGGUAAUAAAUUUUUCCUGCCAUUAGUUAAUAAAGGAAAUAGGGGUUGCCUAGAAGCAAGCAGAUAUGAUUGGGAGGAAGCUGAGGAAACAUUCUAGCACCUCUGUUUUAUUCUUUGUCUUCAGAGAGAAGAUUCUAUAUCACAUACAAGGAAGCAGAGCAUUCAGUGACAAGCCCUGACUCUACUGUGGCUGAGUAACCACCCAGUCACUCUGGUUGUUGGUGAAGACUCAGCAUUGCCCUGGCACUUUAAUCACUGGGGUCCCGGGGGCCCACAGGGCUCAAUAUCUUACACAUGCAGUUCAUGUACCAGCUGUUGCAGGAAACAGGUUCUCUGGAGUUUAAAAAAGAAAGGCAAUUUCUCUAAUUUGGAUCAGGCCAGGUAAAAUGGUGGCUGAGGCUGUCCCUGUUCUGGGUCUCAGGAACUCAGAGCAGGCGUUCAUAGGUCACGAGAUUGGCAUCAGACAAGAGUAGAUAAAUAGAAAAUUUUUUUCCGGUACAAAUACAGGUCUGUGCGGCCCCGUGUCACGUUGUACCUGGUUAUAUGUGCUGAAGUCUCUGAGCUACUCCCACAGUCAAGCUGGUCACAAAUCGGAUUGGGCCUCAUUUUCACCCUGAAGGAAACUGAGGCUGAGAGUUGCUGAGGCCUGCCCUAAAGGUUGUGGCAAGAGACUCAGCUGGAGGUGAGGUUCCUCUCCUCUAACCUCAACAGGACUCUCCCCACUGGUACGCUACAACAGCUUGGAAGGUAAUCGCACUUGUCAGCGUGGGCUUUCCGGAAUAUGUGCUGCUCAUAUUCUGGGAAGGGCAGGCAGCGGGGGUGAGGGUGAGACAGGAAAUCUUUCUGGAGGCUCUGAAGCCAUUCCGGUUUUGGAGCAUCCCCAGCAACUCCCACAGAAUCAAGCCUUUUAAACUGCCUUUUGGAGAGGUUCGACUGAGAGCAAGGCUGCCUCAAUCUGCUUCUGCCCAACUUCCUUUCUGUGAGGCCCCACAAGAGGACUAGAGCAGCGCCCCAGGGAGGAUGCGAGGAGAAUGGGCUGAUUGAGCGAUGUGGGCACAGGGCUGGCUGGCUGCCACCGUGCUGUCUGUCAGCAGGCUACAGGGUGGCUUUUCUUCUUGGUUUGCUUGCAGAGCCAGGGAGGCUGGGUGCCAGGGAGAAUAUUUUCUUUGUUUGGGAAAAGCCGUGUCCAUCUGGCUUGCUCUGUAGCCUGUAGCCUCUCGCCUGAGAAGCUUUCCUGCCACUGGACAUGGAUCCCACUGGCAGGGUCUCUGCUGUGACCGACAGAAGAUGCCGGCCCUGGGAGAGGCAACCAGUGAGGGCCCUACACAGAGCAUGCCUGCGCCUGGACUGACCCAGCCUUCAGUUCAUCCACCCCACAGACAUUGGCUCAGGGUCUCCCCUGGUGGAAUGUGGACCAUGGCCUGUUGUUACAGGCUCAGGUAGAUUGUCGACAAUGGUGCUCCAGUAUUCUCGGCCUGGGGGAGCUUGCAUCCUGCAUAGCCCCUUAAUUUUUGCAGAUGAGGACACUGAGACUCAGAGAUCUGAAAUAGCUUGUCCAAGGUCACACAAGAAAGCCAGGUUCAAGGCCUGGCUCCACCACUGCCUUGUCUUGUGGCCUUGAGCAAGUUCCUUGGCCUUGCUGGGCCUGUUUCCUAAUCUCUGAAGGGGGAUAAGUACCUAGUCCACAAGGCUAAUGUGGGAGUUAAAUGAGAUGAUCCAGCUGAGGGCCUCAUCAAAGGCCCUCUGCUCAUGGGAGGAGUCCCGUACAGUCCACCUCCAUCUCUGAAUCUGCAUUACCCUUGUUUUAUUAUUGUCAUGCAGUUGGCAACAACCACUACAAUCAAAUGAAGACCUCGGAAGCCAAGGCUGUGCAGCUGUUGCACAAAGUUCCUCGAAAGUCCCUCUUGCCUUCCAUCCUCCCCAUGUUCCCACAUGGUAGAGAUGGCAAGUCUCCUUUCUUUCAUUUUACUGAUGAGAUAAAACUUCAGUCAAAGAUGUGUCCUAAACCUGUGCUCUCCACUUCCUGGUUUCCCUGCUCUUUCUGUCUCCACCUGCUGCCAAUUAGAAUAUUCCCACUGGUAGGAUAUUCCAGCCAUGAGGGCGCUGAGUGUGGGAAAGAAGGAAUACCCCCUCCCACCCCAAAUCAAUGGAAAUCACCUCAGCAUUCUUCUUACUGUUUUCUAUUUUUUCUUGGGUUCAUCUCCAGGGGCUGCGGGUUGGGGGCUAAGGACUGGGGGUCCUUGACUGACUGCACAGGGCUGGAUCUGACGGAGCAGAUAGAACGCAUUUCCCAGCUCUGGGGCUGUGGCCAGUGACAACUUUAACGGCAAAGAAUUACCAUCAAUUGUGUCCUGUGGCUGAAGGGAUUUAUGGACAUUUUAUGUGACUCUAUGGACACAGACCCAAGGUUCCAACUGAACAGAGCUGGGAAGAAACACAGUGGCCCUUGUUAAACGGAAAGAAUGAGUUUAAUGUAUACAGGGAGAGGGUAAGGGGUGGCGGUGGGGAGACAGAAGGAAAGGAGGUUCCCCGUGUUAAAUAUUUACAAUUUGGGACUUGGGUCCUGUAUUUCCAAAGGUGGUGGCAGGAGGGUGAUUUCCGUAAUAUAUUCCUCCCUCAAAACCCACCUUGCAUGAGAAACUGCAGCAGGCACAAAAUAUUGCUCAUGAAUAUUAAUCAGUAAACUCCCCCUGCCAGUUGGGAAUGGGGGCUGGUACUAAAAUACUCCCUCCCCAACCCCCAAAGGCAAACAGCCCCCAAGGAAAACCCUGAAGCCAGCUCCCCAGGCUGACAGCAGAAGUAUUCCUGGCCGUGGGGUCAGAGGGCAUGGCCAGGGGAGGGGUCAGCUUUGUUUCCACUGUGUGUUGGUGAAUGCCAAACCUUUAUGGAACUUUGCUAGCUGUGUUUUGGGCUAUUUAGCUGCAAAACCAAAAGAUUUAUUUUUUCCCUCUCUCUCCUUUUGGGUUUUGUCUUCCACUGGCAGCAGUAACAUAUGCAGGUCUGGAGGCCGUUAAGGCAGGCCAGGCUCUCUCCCAUCCGAAGAAAAGAAAAGACAGGUCUUAAUUAAAAGAGAACCCAACAUUUGUAAAGCCAGCACAAACAUUCCCAACAUCCACCACCAUUGCUUCUGUGAUCUUUUCAAUAGACAAAGGAAAAAUGAGUGGCAUGGGAGGCAUCUUUCAUGAUACAUUUUAUCUGUACAACCUGUUACCUUUUUUUUUUUUUUUUUUUUUUUUUUGAGAUGGAGUCUCGCUCUGUCACCCAGGCUGCAGUGCAGUGGCGCCAUCUCGGCUCACUGCAAGCUCUGCCUCCCGG
rnacentral:lncRNA from 10 species